GACGAACGCUGGCGGCGUGCUUAACACAUGCAAGUCGAACGGAAAGGCCCUGCUUGCAGGGUACUCGAGUGGCGAACGGGUGAGUAACACGUGGGUGAUCUGCCCUGCACUUCGGGAUAAGCCUGGGAAACUGGGUCUAAUACCGGAUAGGAGCCAUUUUUAGUGUGAUGGUUGGAAAGUUUUUUCGGUGUAGGAUGAGCUCUCGGCCUAUCAGCUUGUUGGUGGGGUAAUGGCCUACCAAGGCGGCGACGGGUAGCCGGCCUGAGAGGGUGGACGGCCACAUUGGGACUGAGAUACGGCCCAGACUCCUACGGGAGGCAGCAGUGGGGAAUAUUGCACAAUGGGCGCAAGCCUGAUGCAGCGACGCCGCGUGGGGGAUGACGGCCUUCGGGUUGUAAACUCCUUUCGCUAGGGACGAAGCUUUUUGUGACGGUACCUAGAUAAGAAGCACCGGCUAACUACGUG
rnacentral:rRNA from 1 species